rnacentral:rRNA from 1 species
UGGGGAAUAUUGGACAAUGGGCGAAAGCCUGAUCCAGCCAUGCCGCGUGUGUGAAGAAGGUCUUCGGAUUGUAAAGCACUUUAAGUUGGGAGGAAGGGCAGUAAGCGAAUACCUUGCUGUUUUGACGUUACCGACAGAAUAAGCACCGGCUAACUCUGUGCCAGCAGCCGCGGUAAUACAGAGGGUGCGAGCGUUAAUCGGAUUUACUGGGCGUAAAGCGUGCGUAGGCGGCUAAUUGAGUCGGAUGUGAAAUCCCCGAGCUUAACUUGGGAAUUGCAUUCGAUACUGGUUAGCUAGAGUGUGGGAGAGGAUGGUAGAAUUCCAGGGGUAGCGGUGAAAUGCGUAGAGAUCUGGAGGAAUACCGAUGGCGAAGGCAGCCAUCUGGCCUAACACUGACGCUGAGGUACGAAAGCAUGGGGAGCAAACAGG